GGUAGAGAUUUGAGAAGCCUUUCCUUUUUUUGCAUUCAUAAAAAUUCUUCUGUGUGAAAAAGGAAUCAGGCCAGUUUUAACAAACGGAAGCAGAAAAUUCGAAGUAACUGCAACAGCAGUUACAUGUCAAUUAAGCCUGCAUAUAUUAUACAUUACAUAUGUAUUUUAUAUGUACACACACAAAUAUAUAUAUAAGCACAUAAGCAGUACAGGUAUAAACUAAUGAUCUGGGCUUGAGAAAUAAGCAGACAUUAAUAAAGAAGACUUUAAUCCAAAGUCCUGUGGUUGAAAAGUAGCUUUUAAAGGAAUGGGGAUUAUGUUUUGCCUACCUAGUAGGCAUAUGUUAGGUUCUAGAAGUGCUCUUCCCUGGUUAGGAUUAUCUUGGUUUCUGUUGGAUGUUGUAGCAAAACCUCACAGUGGGUGGCUUAUAAACAACAGAAACUUAUUCCUCACAGUGGUGGAGGCUACAAGUCCAAGAUGGAGGCACCAGUAGAUUUCCUGUCUGGCUGGUUCACACUUAUAGUUCUGGCUGUGUCCUCAAACCAUUGGAGGAGAGGCCUCUUUUGGGGGUCUCUUAUAAGGAUAUUGACCCCAUACUGGGUUUCCUCCCUCACGACCUUACCACCCCCUAAAGGCCCCACUUCCAAAUACUGUCACUUGGGGUGUCAGGACUUCAGUUCAUGAGUGGGGGGGCAUGCAAAACAUUCAGACCACAGGCUGCUCAUCACCACUGUUCUCUAGAAUGAACUCUCGAGCACCAAUCAUCUGUGCACAGUUGAAUUUCAGUCUAACCCAGAACAGUCUGUUUAAGCAGCAUUAAAUGAUGUUUUUUUCUGCUUUCUUUGAAGUAACAUUAAUUCAUCUGGAGUCUUCCUCUUUCCCACCCAGAAUUAGGAAAAAGACUCCAAAGAGCACACAGUUUUCAAGUAUCUUCAAAGAAGGGGUCUUCUCCCAUCCCACGGCCACCUGAUGGCAAAAAGCCUCAGGAAAGAUAGGGCUAAGAAGCUCAAAGAGGAACAGUGGAAAGCAUGGAAGAGGAAAGAAAUUCAAGUAUGUUCCUUUUCAUUAUUUGCAACUCAUUGGCUUUUAGCUAUCACCAGGUGGAAUGCGGGGAAGGAAAGAAUGAUGGAAAAGAGGUCUCUGUGAGAAAGGAAGAGAAUAGGAAUUUAAGGGGGGAAGGCUUAAAACCUCCUUCUCUAUAUUGACUGUGGAUAAUAAAUUAUCCUAUGAGAAAAAUUAGAGUAGGAACUACAUGAAAAUGGCAUCUCUCUCCCCCUCCCAUCCUGAGUAACUCUCCUAAGCUGUUGCCUCCAUAAAUAGGGACACUGUGCUAGUCCAUUUUCCAUUGCUCAAUCUGAAUUGCACAGAGAGAAUAGCUUAUAAAGCCCACAGAUUUGUUCAGCUUAUUGUUCUAAAGGUUGGGAAGUCCAAGACUGAGCAGCUGGGUCUGACUGGGACCUCCAGAGGACGUCACAUGGUGAGACACAGCAGCAUGCUGACUUGUCCCUCUUCCCCUUCUUACAGACCCACUGCCACAGCAAUGGGGGCCUCACCUCACAACCUCCUCUAAUCCUGAUUACCUCCUGAAGGCUCAACUGGCCCUACCUCUUAAUAUGUCAUAAGGGGGAAUGCAUUUCAAUAUUUGGUGGGGACAUUCAGACUGUAGCAGACACAACCAAAUUAUAUUGUUCUGUUGUGUGCAUGUGCAAAUAUGUAAAAACUGUUAUACAACUAUAUGUAAUUCCAACUAUUUUGUUAAAUUAUAAUGCAUCAAUAGAAAAGUUAAGAAAAACAUUAUCAGACACAAAUGUGGUUCUGACAUUUAUGGGCAGGUAUCUACAAGAAGAGUAUGUUUGUCCUGUAAUUUGCAUGAUGGUGUUUCUGGAGGUUGGGGCAUGGGGACCUGCCCCAACCUCCAUUUACUUGGCUUCUCGUUGACUCAUGGGCAUCCAUCUCACCCUGGCAGGAUCCCUCCAGACCUGCUGUAAUGCAGCCACUGGUUUUGCCUAAGUUUGGCUCCAUACUUGAUUUAUGAAUUGCUGGCAUCACCACUUCUUUGAUUACAGUAGCUUUGACUUGAGACUUCCCACAAAAUGUUCAGUUUCAUGUUUGCAAUCAGGUAAUACUUUCAACACAAGAACAGGUUCCUCACAGCCCUUAUCUCUGUUCUCUUCUUGUUACUUAGUCCUUGAAGUUUAUCUGCAUGGAUAUCUACCUAGGUGAACACCACGGUAAGGAAACUCAACUUGUGAAAUUUCCAGUUUGUCAACAUGAAAGUCCAGGUGGCAUAGAAAAACAGAGGAGUUAUUCUCAUUACAGAUUACUCUUUGAACCAGAUUCAUUCUUUGCUGGCAUUCUUUAAAAUCCCACUGCUCUCUAAACAUAAUUCAUUCUAUAUAAUUUAAUUUACUCAUCAAAUUUCAGGAAGAGCUCUAUUGGAAAAAAUGAGAUUGGUCAGCAUUUAUUUUACCAAAUGCACAGGGUAGGAUGAAAAUGGUUUGGAGGCAGCACAUAACAAAUCAUUUUUGCCUUCUCUCAAUCCACUCAGAAAUUAGACAAAUAGAAUAUGUUGUGGCACAAAUGAUAGGUGAUGGGUUGGUUUACUGAACACAGUCUCAGCCUAUGAGGAUUUCAUAGUGUCUGAUGGGAGACAUCAAAAUUAACAAUGGUAACAAUAAUAGUCUAAACAUGACAGAGGAAUACAGAGGAGAGUGCUGGUGGGGUGUUUGGGCAAGAGUCAUGAUAGACAAUGCAUCAGUAAGACCAUUAGAAAUUUGGUAAUUAGGGAUGUGGAGCCAGAGCAGGGCAGUGCCUACAGAGCUUCAUGAGUUGCUCAGAACACUCACACAGGGUCACCAGAUGAGUGAUGUAAAGGAGGGUGGAAAGACACACAGGGUCCAGCAGAAGGAGUUUCGUAAGCCAUCCCAUGUGAGAACUGGACUGCCCGCAGCCAAGGCCUCCCAGAUGGAGAGUGGUGCAGCCAGAGCCAGCUUUCUGGAAAUGUGAUGGCUUCUCUUCUAAUCUCCCCUCCAAGGACAGAGAGGCAGGAGCCAGGCGGGGCAACUGGCGAGCUCCUGCACUAAUUCUGAGUAUGAAGGGUACGUCCAUGGAUGUUCUGGGAUGAGAGUGGAGGCAACCUUGCCUCACCCACAGAACCAUCUGUGCAGUGCCACCUCUGCCCAUGCUGUCAUGGUUCUCCAUCCUCCUGUCCAGCCACACCUGGGGACCCUAUGGAGAGGUGGAAACGAAACUUCCUGUCUCCCCAGGACAGCAUGACAUUUAGAAAGCUGAGCUGGCCAUCUCCUCAGCCAUCCCUCCUGAGCUAUACAGCACUCUUAGCAACCUCACGUGUGUUUACACACGUGUCCCAACCUGCCACAGAAGCACCACACACACUGUCCCAACUUUGCACCCUCCAGCUCCGAAAUCUGACUGACAAGCAGAGAGUGAACAAUUUGUGUUUCUACGAUGAAUGAAGGGGCACAUGUGCCACCACCUCUCUCCUGUGACACUGUCAAUCACGAAUCGACAUUUAUAAUAUUUAAAAAUAAAUAUCCUUUUAAAACCUGGGCAUGUUGCCCUAUUGAUAAAAUUUGAUCGAAGAAACCACAAGUGUUUACAUAAAUGUUUCAGUUUUUAAAAAACCUUCCACAUUGACCUGAUCUCACUUUGCCAGAGUAAAGCAAGCAUCAAAGACAUUUUUUAAGUCAACCUCCUUCUCAGGCCUUUCUUGACAUGACAGAGUUUUUCCUAAGUUCACUGAAAUCAAAAACUUUUAGAAUGAGAUGAUUCUGACCAAAUCCUCUGGACUGAGUUGGACCUAGGGGUUUUCUAUGUUGGGUAAGAGGCUUCAGUGAACCAAAAUACAUAGGGAUCCAGCUCCCUGUCUCCCUCCCCUUGCUUACCUCUGAGUAUCAACAAGUGUGUCCUGCUACAUAACCACAUUUCAAGUGGAAGAACAAAUUGCAGGCCGUUUGGGCUCCAUAUCCCUAGUGGUGCCCCAUGUCAGCCCAAGGCCACAGCUACUUCAGCCACUCAGUCUUCUGACUCCAACAGGUUGGAUAAGGACUCUCAACUCAAGCAGUAACAUGUCAAUAUUGAAUACCCUCACAAGGAAGUGUAAUAAAUAUGAAAAUGCUGACUAUUGAUGAGUUCUUUUAUACAAAAAAAAGACCAUCAUAAAGAAGCUUUGUAAAUAAGCACAUUUUGGAAAAUAGAAGCAGUUGAGUGUUUGAGAAUCCUCUUUAGGUAAUGUGAAAUUCCUUCACAUUAUAUGUCUAUUUUACAGAAAUAGCAGGGCAGACUCUCUAUUAUAGAGUUCCUAUGGAAUUUUUUAUAGAGCAAAAAUGCCCAAAAAUUAUAAACUGAAGCUAAUGCAAGAAAAUAUAGAUAUGCAAAAGGAGGGAUUUUCAUUUGCUUAUAAUAAAACAUAUGUCACAAUCAAGUUAGACAGCUUAAAUUAUAAUUUUCAGGCAUAAAGAGUUUCAGGAAAGAAGCUGAGAGACACAUUCAUAAAUAUGCCUUGUUAUUUUCCCCAAAAGUGGCACAAUAAUUAAUAAAUGAGUCAAAAUUCUCAGUCUAUUUUUUUUUUCAAAAAAAGUUGAGAUGUUAACAGCGGGUAGUAAAUUUUGAAAAAUUUAUUACUUAUGCCCAGCUAUUGGGCAGGGACUGUUAGGCCCACAACUAUCAAAUAUAUAAUAAAACUGUGCUUCAAAUGAGAUUAUAAAUAAAACUGGAUGGACUAGGAAACCCCUUUUGAAAUGGUUAGUCCACAAAAUAAUAUUACUAGGCUAGAAUACAAAAGCUCUUAAUAACUGGAUACAGGCAAUUAAGAUCAAAGGGUUAUGAAACAAGAGAAAUAUAUGCUUCCAUGAUGUUUAAGCAUUUUGGAGUCAGGGAGCUCAGCCUGGGAUCUGAAGCACAGUGUCACCCCUGGUCCCCCGGCUCUGCUCCCUGGGUCCUCACCGGUAUCCACUCUGUGCUGGCCCUUUUCCUAACCACUGUGCUGCUCACACCCAGGUAUCACAUGCUCUCUUUCCUGGCCAUUGCUGCCAGCUCUUGGCUCACCUACCCUCACCUACUUGCUCCUUUCCAAUGCAUUCACCUGGAAACUUGCCAACCCUUGGCUGGCUUUCCUGUGCUUUGAGGGAAGGCUCCCAAGUUCCAGGACCCUGGUCAGAGGCUGUGGACACCCUUCUUCAGCCUGCCUGACCACUCUUUUCUUUCUGGUCUUCUCUUUCUCCUUCCUGCCCUCACUCUCUCCUCCUGUCCCCCUGCUUGCUUUCUCUCUCCCCCCACCCUUGCAUGUCUCCAUCUCUGUAGUCCAGGCACAGGGGCUCGAUUCCAUCCUUGAACCUGGCUCUCUCAUUUGCUGCACAAGGACUUUACUUGCUCUUUCCUUUACCUUAAAUGCUCUCCUGCUGUUUAAAAAUAAAACAAAUCAAAAAUUUUGUCCAAGUACAGCAUAUUCAGAGAUGCGUGUUAAGUCCCAAGUCUGCAUCUGCGUGAGCCAUCUGAAAGGGAGCACAGGCCUGUGUAGCACCACUCCAAGUACACGGUACCUGAGCUGGGUCAGCGGCUCUCCUGGUACUCUCCCCCAUGGACCAGGCCAACCCCUUCUCCUCUGAGACACUGCCAUUUUGCCCUCCAACACUGGUGAGCUCUGAACUUCAUGUAAAGGGGAUUAGACCACAUGUGCCCUUGAGCCUGGCUGUUGGACUCAGGCAUCUGCUGGGGAGACUCGUGAUGCUUGUCUUCACUGUGAUCUGUGACCCUGCUGUGAGCAUGCCCUCAUCAAUCCCUGUCAUCAUUAGCUGCUCAGAUAUGGAACGAUGCUGUGACUUGUAGUCCAAGUCUCUCCUUCCACAAUCCUGCUACUGUAAACACUAAUGUGGUGUGGCCCUGUAGUGUGUCAUUUUCCUUUUGUGAGUAUUUGUCAAUGUUUUUACCCAUUUGUUAACUCUAGUGUCUGAGAUUUUUUAAAUUUAUGUUGUAAAAUCUUUUAAUAUACCUAGGAUAUAAAUCAUUUGUCAGUUAAUAAGAAUUGGAAAUAUAUUUUAUUACUCUUUGAAUUAUAUUAACAUGAUGUUCCUUUUUCAACAAUAAUGUAGUAAGACUUGAUUUCUAAACAAAUCAAUCUUAAAUCUAAUCAAUUUUCAUCAAUGUUAAGUUUAUCAAUUUCAUUAGUUGCUUGGAAAACAACUUUUAGUUUGUUGAAGUGUAUCACACAUUUGUUUCCCACUUAAUAUUAAAGACAUUCAUAUGUACUAUUUUAUUAUUUUAAUUUCAUUUGCUG
rnacentral:lncRNA from 1 species